AUGAUGUAGCGCAGUGCUAGUGCGACUGCCCGCGAUGCAGAAGAUUCCGGGUUCGAUUCCCGAUCACUCAUA